rnacentral:lncRNA from 1 species
UUCGUUAUCAACUUAUAUUUUUAUCACAGAUUCAAGGAUAUCAACUUUUUAUCAUAAAGUGCAGACAGUCAAAAAUUGUAUAGUCAAUGUUAAUACUAAAUAAAAUAUUAUACAGUAACAUUUGUUGUCUAUGUAUGAUGUAUGCAUUGUAUUAGCAGUAUUCCCGACCAAACUCUUUGGAGGUGAGGAAAAAGUUGUUUCUUCAUUUAUAAC